rnacentral:rRNA from 1 species
GAUGAACGCUGGCGGCGUGCCUAAUACAUGCAAGUCGAGCGAACAGACGAGGAGCUUGCUCCUCUGACGUUAGCGGCGGACGGGUGAGUAACACGUGGAUAACCUACCUAUAAGACUGGGAUAACUUCGGGAAACCGGAGCUAAUACCGGAUAAUAUAUUCAACCGCAUUGUUCAAUAGUGAAAGACGGUUUUGCUGUCACUUAUAGAUGGAUCCGCGCCGCAUUAGCUGGUUGGUAAGGUAACGGCUUACCAAGGCAACGAUGCGCAGCCGACCUGAGGGGGUGAUCGGCCACACUGGAACUGAGCCACGGUCCAGACUCCUACGGGAGGCAGCAGUAGGGAAUCGUCCGCAAUAGGCGAAAGCUUGACGGAGCAACGCCGCGUGAGUGAUGAAGGUCUUCGGAUCGUAAAACUCUGUUAUUAGGGAAGAACAAAUGUGUAAGUAACUAUGCACGUCUUGACGGUACCUAAUCAGAAAGCCACGGCUAACUACGUG